rnacentral:lncRNA from 1 species
ACAGAUGUGGACCAGAUUAAGAAGUAAGAAGAGGGAAGCAGAUGCCUUGUGAACUGGGUAGUUUUAAUAUCUAUGGCCAUUUGUAGUACAGCAAUGCCAGAUUCUAACCUCAUAGUCCACAGACUGGGGAGGCCCUGGUGUUAUCAUCACCUACUUAGCCAUUCAUUGACAGUCCUCUCCAAAUCUCAUUCUGCUCCCCUGCAGGUUAGUCACAAGGGCAUUACAGGGACAGUUUUAAUUUUUAGAAGGUAUAGAAAAUGUUGCCCCUUCCAGAGAAAGUGCUUAGUGACCACGCCCAUAUAGAUAGGUCUUGGUCUUUAAGCCACAGGUACCAUCUUAGCUCCACUAGGAGGUGACUGAUGUUGACACAUAGUCACCCAUGGUGAAAGGGAUUAGGUACCCCAGGAUCUACAAGAAGUAUAGUAACUGAGCAGCUAGGAGCUCUUCCAGAACUGAACUGGAAUCAGAAACAUUAGAGUUCUGGCUUGGACCCAGCUCUGUGUCAAUCAACACUGCCUCUUUUCUUACCCUCGUUGUCUUUGUCUGCAUAAGCUGGCAGUGAGAUGCUUUAGCAGGGCUUCUUCACACAUUUGCUUAAGAACAUGCUGAACACUUCUAGUGAUGUAGUACUGAUUACACAGGUGACACAAACUCCCCUGCUGCAAAAUGAAUGCCAUAUCACACACACUAGGAUCUGAUUUUAAAUAGGGAAGACUGGGCCUUUCCAUUGAAAGGGUAUCACUUCCUGUAUUUCUUCUCCUUCUAACCAACAUGGCAAAAAGAGAGCAGCCAUCCAUUUAAAAAUCAAACAGUUACGUGAAAAAGCGACCCUUCCCGCAAACCAAAACCAAUAAUGGUUACACCUACCCCGGUACUAGUUUGAUUAUUGAUCUAUUUGGUAAUGCUGGAUUAAGUCAAGAGAAGGCGUUCUUAAAAAUAAGUUACUGAACUGCAGGCUAAGGAAGAAGAAUCACUUGAGUACUAGAGUUCACAUUUGUCCUUGUAAGAGGGAAGCAGAAACAAAUAAGACUACAAAAGCCAUGGUGGAAGUAAAACUGAGAAAGUGCUGUGGAGAUAGAAACCAAGGUAUGCAGUUCAAAAAUCUGGAGAAGGUAGAGAGACUUACUCUUCUUUGUACCUUGGCAAGAGACAGAAAGCACAGCAUUACUAUUACCCUGUCUAAAUGAUCAUUCCUGGAAAGCUGGGUCUGAAAUGGAUUAAUUAGAACUGCAGUGAUACAUAGAGGAUAGAAUGUAGCAAGCCUAGAGACUAAUUACAAAUUGUCUUGGGUUAUAUUUAGUGCCCUAAAAAGGCAUUGUUGCCUACCUCUGUGAAACCUACAUUCUGAGUCUGGCAGAUAAAACUAAACCUGGCAUUCUGAUAAACAGAUAAAAACAUUUGGAAUGUGUUAACCAAAUGCUAUUCCUCACCAAAGAGCUAAGAAUGCUGUCAGAUCACAUCAAGGACCUAAAGCUGAGAUUUCUCCACUGUGCUGUAACCGCCUACCUAAUGUUUCCACCAAUGUAUUUCAAAAGCACUUUGACUUAUAACUUUUCUCUGUUCUGUUGACAUCAUGAAACUACUUCUACAUUGGAACAUAGAAUUUGAGGUGACCUAAAUCUGUGUUUCUGGGUCCUGGUCAUUCAUUGUCUCCAGAUUAAAUGAGGUGAAAGCUGUGCUUUUUUGUAUGGACACCAAUAAAAUGAAUUUUAGACUUCUUGUCUUCAAACUG